UUGGAAACUUACCCCUAUAAAGUACUAAAGAGUGGCAUAAAAUGUCUUAGGGAUUCACACAUUGCAUGGAAGAGUCCUGUGCUAAUUAAACCACUGUUGUCAAAGGCUCAUUCGAGGCGCGCUUAAGCCCUGAAACUCAAAAAAAUCACUUAGGUCUUAGGCUGCGCUUCAGUGUAGGCAAGGCACUAAGGCGUGCGCCUGAUUGCCAAUAAGUUCUAUCUUGAACAAAGCGGUGCAAAAUAAUAAAUAUAAUUGGCAAAAAGAUAUAUUAAUUGUUAAGAAAUCGUUAUGAAUGAAAUUCUUAAUUUUUCCUUGCAUUACAUAUAUGGUUUUAUUUUUUUCUAGAAAAGCCCUGAUAGAUCUGGAAACACCUGCAAUCAGCGAAUGAGAAGGGCUUUAAGGCAAGAUAAAUAAAAUGACUUUUCUGCAUGCCUGUUGACCCAAAAGCAUUGCCACCCCUUUGUUGCUAGUGUUCUCUGCUACCUUCUACCUGUAAAAGCUCAAUCUCACUCUUUGCCCUGCUUCUCCUCUCCCUUCGUCAAAAGAUUGAUAGACGGAAUGUCUUUUGUAAACCUAAGUGAGCUGUGGUUAACCAAUUUCCACUGUAAUUAUGCAGUGAAAAGUUGCUAAUUCCUGAAUAGUGCUUUUACUAUGUGAGACUUUAGUUAACUGAAGGGCUGCUGGUGACAAUCUUUAGUGUUUUAAGGUGGAAAUGUCCUCGGUGAAGAAAAGUUGAAGGGCCUAUGCUGUAUUAAUUUUUUCCCAAGCUAUGUUGCUCGGACUCUCCAAAAAUAUCGAUGGGUGCGUGUCGGAUCCUCCAAAAAUAGUUUAUUUUGGAGGAUCCGACACGGGUGCGGCAGCUGUUUUGGAGAGUCCGCGCAACAUAGUCCCCAAGUAAUCAAUUUGAUACUCAGUCAUAUUAUAAUUCAUUUUGCAGCUAGAAUGGUGAUGGCAGAGAGAAAAGAUACAGGGCCAAUCAGGCCGUGUCACGUUAGAGAAGCAUAUAGAAGGCUAAAACAUGAAGGCAAGAUUCCAAAAAAAUCAGUGCCAAGACUUUUCCGUUAGCGGAUGUUGAAGCAACCUGUAGUUUUAGUUCAGGUUAGCUGUCCUCCCUUUGCUUACACCAGUUGAGCCCUUUUAUAUGCCUUUGUUAGAUUUUCAUAAAACCAUAAUUCUUUGCACUUUCAGGUCAAGUUAACAUUGCUACUCACAAAGUUGUGGCAGUUUUGCCCUGUUAAAUGUGGGGUUUGCUUUAAUCAGAGGGAAAAAGUUAACAUUUAUAAAAAUUGACAAGAAAUAGUCUCAAACUAUUUUCAUACUGCUCCGAACCUCGAACUGAAAAUGUGGCUAUUUAAUAACAACAUCAUUAUAUCUGUAAGAACCACACGUCUAUCUAGUCACUGUCUCUUAAAUUAGUUUUUGUAUAACCUACUAAUACUUUGAAUGUGCGAGACUUGGUAUCAUCUAUUGGUAUUGAACGUUUGGAUGCACUCGGACAAAACAGAAAAGAUGGAGUGAUGGACCACAAUACUCCAUCCGCCAUGAUGUUUGAAGGAGGCAAAAUCAACUAAAACUUUUGUUGACUAGAAAAAGAAUCCAAAGGACAGUGCGGAGCAGUUUGGGUGCUCCUCUUUAAUUCUAACGAUUUGAACCAGCCAGCCAUUUUCCUUGCAGAAAGUCGUCGGACACCCUUGUAAAUCUUGGAUGAAAAGCUCAAUGACUGAUUAUUUAGGUUUUCUGGAGCUCAAUAUUACCUUUACAAGGUGAGAUGCUGGGUCUUCUUUGAGAUGCUGGUGAUUAUUCGGAGAAUUAACUUGAAGAGCAUUCAGCCAAGUCGAUGAAUCGUGGUACAUCUUGAAGUACUCAAUUGUACAGUUUUGAGAGUGUAGUACGUUGACUUUCAGCUGUCGCUUUCCUUUUUCCCUGUUCAGAAGGGCAUACUUAGUAGGAAAUGUUAGAAUGUCAAGAACGAUAUGGUUGAUGACCAAAUCUUUAACCAUUGGACAAAAAUACUUUUUACAGCUUUGUUUGGAUGGUUGUUACCUAUUGUAUUGUAUCGUAUUUUUACUUUAAAUAUGAUAUUUGUUUGAUAGGUACUUAAAUUUUA